rnacentral:rRNA from 1 species
UGGGGAAUAUUGCACAAUGGGGGAAACCCUGAUGCAGCGACGCCGCGUGAACGAAGAAGGUAUUCGUAUCGUAAAGUUCUGUCCUAUGGGAAGAUAAUGACAGUACCAUAGAAGAAAGCUCCGGCUAAAUACGUGCCAGCAGCCGCGGUAAUACGUAUGGAGCGAGCGUUGUCCGGAAUUAUUGGGCGUAAAGGGUACGCAGGCGGUUUAAUAAGUCGAAUGUUAAAGAUCGGGGCUCAACCCCGCAAAGCAUUGGAAACUGAUAAACUUGAGUAGUGGAGAGGAAAGUGGAAUUCCUAGGGUAGUGGUGAAAUACGUAGAUAUUAGGGGGAAUACCAGUAGCGAAGGCGACUUUCUGGACACAAACUGACGCUGAGGUACGAAAGCGUGGGGAGCAAACAGG